CAGAGUUACUGACACGGUCAAGUGUGAGAAUUAAAUGGUCUGUGUAGGAAGCCAGAUCACUUUAGGAAAUUUCUCCUAACAACACUAAUGAGGAGGUUCUGUGGCAUUGACGGGACAUGUGCUUUGUGCUAUAAGUCCCUUUCAGCUCUCGAGUGCUGGGAUUCAGUCUGCCUCUCUGAACUCCUCCAUCAUGAGUGUGAGCUAUUUAAGAAGGACAGAUUCUUCCAGGAGCAGCGAUGUCUCUAGCUUGAAUCAUCAAGGUCAGGCCAGGCAUAUUUGUUUGGGGUUUUUGAUGGGAUUUCUCUUAAUUGAUUGGGGUGAAGAGUUCAGAGCAAUGUUGGAUUGGCUUUUCAGCUCCAAGCUGCAAGAGACUGGGCUUGGCACGAUUCGAGGCUGUCUGCUGAGGCUGCUCCUGACCCUGCUUCUUCAGCCCACUGUUUUUACAGCAGCCUCAGGAGGAAAAGAGGGUAGCAGUUCUGUAUCCACUUUAUAGAAGAGGACGCUGACCUUGGAGGGACUUGCCCAGGGACCCACAACUGACACAGAGCUGAGGAGCAAGUAGAACCUGGAUGCGGAGACCCCACUGGGUGCCCUCUCCCUCAACUGCCACAGGGCACGAGAAGGUAUGUAGGCUGCAGCUCAGGCCAGGUCUGCCCCAGGAAAGGGGCAGCUGUGGGGAGGGUAGAGUCCAG
rnacentral:lncRNA from 1 species